AUUACAUAAAGGGAACAGUCCAGCAUAUGCUGCGCUGCUUGCUGACUAGAAACUAUGGUAAAUCUGAACCCCAGGUAGAUGUACCAUGAAGUGCACUGGAUAAGCAAACCUACAACACCAAAGCACAGAAAUGGCAUUAACAUUAGGCACACAAAUCAGCAGCACAUCAUUAAAAGAGCAGGAAACUUAUAAUUACCAUAUUCUGGUUUGUAUGUUUGCAGCUGACUAUGAAGCAAACAAGCAACUAGAUUAUUGAAACUAUGGUAAAUCUGAACCCCAGGUAGAUGUAACAUGAAGUGCACUGGAUAAGCAAACCUACAACACCAAAGCACAGAAAUGGCAUUGGCAUUAGCCACAUAAAUCAGCAGCACAUCAUUAAAAUAGCAGGAAACUUAAAGUUACCAUAUUCUGGUGUGUAUGUUUGCAGCUGACUCAAGCAACUAGAUUAUUGAAACUAUGGUAAAUCUGAACCCCAGGUAGAUGUACCAUGAAGUGCAAUGGAUAAGCAAACCUACAACACUAAAGCACAGAAAUGACAUUAGGAUUUGGCAAAGAAAUCAGCCGCACAUCAUUAAAAGAGCAGGUAACUUGUAAUUACCAUAUUCUGGUCUG
rnacentral:lncRNA from 1 species